GCGGGCAUAGUUUAGCGGUAAAACUUCAGCCUUCCAAGUUGGUGUCGUCGGUUCGAUUCCGUCUGCCCGCACCA
rnacentral:tRNA from 1 species